UACAGAGGGGGCGAGCGUUAUUCGGAAUUAUUGGGCGUAAAGGGCGCGUAGGCGGCCUGACAAGUGACGGGUGAAAUCCCUCGGCUCAACCGAGGAUCUGCCUGUCAGACUGUUGGGCUUGAGACCGGGAGAGGUGAGUGGAAUUCCCAGUGUAGCGGUGAAAUGCGUAGAUAUUGGGAGGAACACCAGUGGCGAAGGCGGCUCACUGGACCGGAACUGACGCUGAGGCGCGAAAGCGUGGGGAGCAAAC
rnacentral:rRNA from 1 species